AAUACGGAGGAUGCGAGCGUUAUCCGGAUUUAUUGGGCUUAAAGGGUGCGUAGGCGGAUAGAUAAGUCAGUGGUGAAAUUCUGCAGCUUAACUGUAGACUUGCCGUUGAUACUGUCAGUCUUGAGUAUGGUCAAGGCAGGCGGAAUGUGUAAUGUAGCGGUGAAAUGCUUAGAUAUUACACAGAACACCGAUUGCGAAGGCAGCUUGCUGGGCCAUUACUGACGCUGAUGCACGAAAGCGUGGGGAUCGAACAGGAUUAGAUACCCUGGUAGUCCACGCCGUAAACGAUGAUCACUCGCUGUUGGCGAUACACAGUCAGCGGCUAAGCAAAAGCAUUAAGUGAUCCACCUGGGGAGUACGGCCGCAAGGCUGAAACUCAAAGGAAUUGACGGGGGCCCGCACAAGCGGAGGAACAUGUGGUUUAAUUCGAUGAUACGCGAGGAACCUUACCUGGGCUUAAAUGUAGAGUGCAUUGGUGAGAAGUCAUCAUUUUCUUCGGAACUCUCUGCAAGGUGCUGCAUGGUUGUCGUCAGCUCGUGCCGUGAGGUGUCGGGUUAAGUCCCAUAACGAGCGCAACCCUUAUCGUUAGUUGCCAGCGGGUAAUGCCGGGGACUCUAGCGAAACUGCCGGUGUAAACCGAGAGGAAGGUGGGGAUGACGUCAAAUCAGCACGGCCCUUAUGUCCAGGGCUACACACGUGUUACAAUGGCCGGUACAGAGGGCAGCUACCUGGAGACAGGAUGCGAAUCUCGAAAGCCGGUCUCAGUUCGGAUCGGAGUCUGCAACUCGACUCCGUGAAGCUGGAUUCGCUAGUAAUCGCGCAUCAGCCAUGGCGCGGUGAAUACGUUCCCGGGCCUUGUACACACCGCCCGU
rnacentral:rRNA from 1 species